CAGGAUUGGCUGCCCCUUCAUAACCAUAAGAUAAUUAAAACGAGGGGGGGGCAGGGUUAAAAAAACUUUUUUAUCAGCCAGAGGUUAAUGCAAGUGUUUAACAGAUGCUUCAUUAUUAAAAUAUUUUCCCCCCCAACUCUCAAAUAUUGAAGAAUCUCAGACCAGGGACACCAGCCCCUCCGAAGACCUUGGGCGAUUUCAAAGCGCAGGCACCUCGAUUCCCCGAAUCUGUGGUGUAGCGGGUCCCGGUGUUCCCCUGCUUUAACUAGCCUGUUUGGAUUUAUGUUAACUACUCAUCCACAUUCUUGUUUCAAGCAAAUUGUAUACACGCCAGCAAUAUUUUCUUCCAAGCCGGGAGGAAAUCAUUCAACAUUCAGAGGAGGAAGUAAUUGCAAGUUUGCAUACAUGCUCUGUGGAAACAGAGCCAGAGGACGCAGCCAGACAACUGCGGGCCGGGUCGCCUCCCCGGGGAUCGCAAGGCUUCAGCCCUCGAAGGACAGUGUGCGCCCCAGACUGAGAUGCGGGGCUGCAGCCACAGCCCGGGACUGUUAGGGUGCAGGGGGCGCCACCCCGCACUUAGGCCUCUGCGUUGGCUGCUGGGCCGCUCCUGGUUAAAGUCUCCUUUUG